UCUUAAUGGCGGGAGGGCUUUUCUUGAUUAAACCCGUUAACCCGUUAGGGUUCCAACCAUUUUUCAAUAGGCGAAGAUGAAAUUUAGGGCACACAAUAGGUCGUUAUACUCCAAGCUGAAACUACUGGUGUCGCACAACAUAGCUUCUCCUCUCACCCAUCGUUCUCAACAAUACAGCUCAAUAGCGAAGGUGAGGCUGAAAUGGGUGAAGAACAGGAGCCUGGACCAUGUCAUUGAUACAGAAACAGAUCUCAAGGCAGCUUGCCUCCUCAAGGACGCUAUCAAGCGCUCUCCAACGGGUUAUCUCACUGCCAAGUCAUUUGCUGAUUGGCAAAAGCUUCUCGGCCUAACCGUCCCUGUUCUUCGCUUCAUGCGCAGGUACCCAACCCUUUAUAAAGAAUUUCCGCAUGCCCAAUACGCGAAUUUGCCUUGUUUUGGCUUAACGGAUACUGCAUUAUUACUAGAUUCACAUGAGCAGAGUAUACACCAAAAUUACGCAAAUGAUACUGUGGAAAGGCUUUGUCGAGUGCUAAUGAUGAUGAGAAAUAGGACAGUGCCACUCAAAUCAUUACAUCCUUUGAAAUGGGACCUGGGUUUGCCUGAUAACUUUGAGAAAAAUUUUGUUCCAAAAUACCCAGAUUAUUUUCGAUUUAUUAAGGCUGCUAGUGGGGUUACAUGCUUGCAUCUCAACCAAUGGCGGGAGGAAUUAGCUGUUUCUGCACUGCAGAGAAGUAAUGAGAGUGGUGACAUGGGCAGUGAUUAUCGACAGUUUAAGAGAGGGCAAACAGCUUUGGCUUUCCCUAUGAAUUUUCCGAGGGGCUAUGGGGCGCAAAAGAAGGUGAGAGCAUGGAUGGAGGAGUUUCAGAAGCUUCCAUACAUUUCACCAUAUGAAGAGUCGAGGCAGAUUGACCCAAAUAGUGACCUUAUGGAGAAACGAGUUGUUGGGGUUCUGCAUGAGAUAUUGAGUUUAACGCUUCACAAAAAAACUAAAAGGAACUACUUGAGAAGUUUAAGGGAGGAGUUGAAUCUUCCUCAUAAGUUUACUCGACUUUUUACAAGGUAUCCGGGGAUUUUCUAUCUCUCAUUGAAGUGUAAGACAACUACCGUGGCUCUGAGAGAAGGUUACCAAAGGGGAAAAGUUGUGAACCCACAUCCUCUAGCUCGUCAUAGAGAGAAGUUCUAUCACGUGAUGAGGACUGGGCUAAUUUAUCGAAAUAAAGGUGAAAACAGGAUACCCCAAGAAAUGUUGCUUAAUAAUGUAGAAGAUCAAAUAGGACAAGACGAAUCUGAAGAAGAAGAUAGUGAUGCAAGUGAAAGCUCUUUUGAGGAAAUCUCAGAGCUUGAGGAAAGUUCUGAUGAAGAUUAGAACUUCUCCAAUUUAUCCAACAAAUUGCUGCAUAAAAGGAAAAGAUAUAUAAUCCUCUCCCUUGAGUUAAGGAAGUCUUUAUCAUUGUAGGAGCAGGUUUUACAAUUAGUUUGUUGGGUCAAAGUGACAUAUCAAGACCAUUGCUCAUGAAAUUGUAUUGCAAGGCUGUGAACAUUCCUGCACGAGCGGCCCAGAAUGUGAAAGAUAUGUUGUGAUCAUAGUAGCUUACAGAUCAAGUUUGAUUAUACAUGCAAUAGAAGAGGGAGAGGAUAAAAUGCCAUCAAUAAUCCAUUCACUCCCUUUAUCAUUUUAGGGAAUUAGUGUCUAAUUCAAAAUAAACAACUCUGUGAUUAUCUUUUUCAGUAUAAUUGUGAGUUCAUAACCGCGAAUCAUUAUCGCGGGCAACUGCUCUCGGGGUGAUGACUGAAUGGCAGCUCCAGCGCGUUCAAUUCUUGUGAUAGAACAGUCUGAUAGCCAAAAGCUUGCCUUUCGUUGGGCCCGAUGUUUCCUUUUCUGGAGACUCACUAUCCUGUGUUCAAUUAUAAUCUCAUGUUCGGCUGGAUUGUUAGAAUGAAUGAAUAUUUGUUUCCUCUGGUGA